UUUAUCCCCCUACAGGCCCCAAAAGGAUGGGACAAAAGUGAAAAGAAGGUACAAUCUAACGCUGAAGGUCUGCCAUGAGCAUAUCCAGCGAGGUUUCAAGUACAAGACACAGCUAAAAAGCACAGAAUCUGGCACUAUUAUACAUGCUUUUGGGCUCCCAUAGCCACCAGUAAAGCAUGCCAAGAAAGUUCUAUAGAUAUUAAACUCAAUAGAUAUCAUUCUCUUGCAACAAGGAUGCUCAACCACCUGAGCUUGAAGUAGGGAUGAAGUGGCAGUUAAGUAGGUCAUAAUGGUGCAACAGAAGGCUGAUUUAGAGGAAGUAAUCAGGUGUUCUACGGGUAA
rnacentral:misc_RNA from 1 species